CUUCAUUUAAAUAUAUGUACUUAAUAUUUUUUUUUCCCUCUGACUUUCAUGGAGAAGACUUCAGUUUGUCAAGUUGAGAGUAUUUUGUUUUGGAGCAAAUUUGAGGUUACCUAGGGUGAAACAAAAUUACAGGCUUGGAAACUCUGGAAAAGCUCAGCAUCAGUAUUUGAGAGCCGAAGCCUGCAAAUUAUGUGAUUAACCUACAAGCUGAUAUCAUGAUGUCAAAAUGCAGUUUGGAAAGCAUAAGCACAGAGGCUGCAGAGAUUAAAACGGUAAGUGCAUGCUUUGUAGUACAGGAGAAAUAGAUUUUUUAUGUAUCAUUUUGCUGUAUUCUGCCUGAUAUGUAAAACUCCUUCAGGACCACCACGUCACCAUAAGGUAAGUGAGACUGUAGAAAUUUACCCUGAAUUUCUUUGAAAUGAAUAAGAAUGAUUAAAAUAGCUAAUUUAUUUUAUCUGUAGGUGGUUAGAUAAAGCAGUGGCAUAAAGAAAAAAGGCAUUUGUUGUGAAAUACGUGCCUUGAUAUCUCUUGUGAAACUGAAUGUAAAUGUGUUCUUUUUGUUUUGACAUUUUUAAAAAGUGAAUGUUGUGUUUAAGUAUUUCUUGUGGGUUUUUGCAGUGAAAUGUAUUUCUAUAGAAUAAAUAAAAUCAAUUUUUAAAAAGUGGGAAGAGGGAAGAUGUGUAGGAUUAAAAUUAGAAUUGAGUUUGUUUCAGAUAGAAGGAUAAAUAAACAACAAGAUAAUAACUAUAUAACUAAAAUAAACAAGAUAGAAGGAUGAAAAAAUAACAGAUAAAGUUAUUGUCUUGAAGUGAAUGGCAGGUAAGUUGUUACGGUCUUACUCCCAGUAAUAUACUUCAGUUUGAAUUAUGAGUUGAGCAAAAACAGGAAAGAGGCUGUCUGAUAAAGUUGUAUACAAUAAAAAUCGAGAACUUUGGUGUCAAAUUGAGGACAG
ensembl:lncRNA